GACGAACCGUCCAACCGUUAUUCGGAAUCACUGGGCUUACAGAGUUCGUAGGCGGUCUGGCAAGUUGGGUGUGAAAUCCCUCGGCCUAACCGAGGAACUGCGCUUGAAACUACCAGACUCGAGGGAGAUAGAGGAAAGCGGAACUGAAGGUGGAGCGGUGAAAUGCGUUGAUAUCAUCAGGAACACCGGUGGCGAAGGCGGCUUUCUGGGUCUUACCUGACGCUGAGGAACGAAAGCCAGGGGAGCGAACGGG
rnacentral:rRNA from 1 species